ensembl:lncRNA
AAGUCACGGUCAUAGCUGUGAGAUGCAUGGCUUCUUAAAGCAGUUAAAGUUAUUAAUUUAGAAAGUCAAGUUUACUGCACUCACAGUUUUUUAUGAUUUUAAUGGAUAAAAACUCAAGUCCUAAAUAUAUACUUUGGAUGUAUGAAAUACAGUGCAUCAUGAAUAAACACAAUACGUUCAUGACUGAAAUUUUUAUUUCACUUUUCCUUUGUAAAGUCUGAAUCUAGCAACACAGGUAAAUCUGAUGACGUGACGACUUCAGCGACAUUUAAAGUAUUAGCGAUCUACUUUAUUUGGUGACCAAUGCGCUUCAGCUUGUGGUCUUCAUCAGGGUCAUAAAGUCGGAAUCUAGACAGAUUUUUUUGGCCUUCUCUGAUUGGAUUAAACCUGCCAGGCCCUGGAGUAACAGUUUAUGUUUGAGCGAAGAACAAAAUGAACAUGUAUAUGUAAAAGAAGUGAGCAGCUGAGCAGAAAGCCCUCUGCUGUCAUGCAUCACAUCAUAUCCUCUGCAGAAGACAGGUAAGUGCUCUCUGCUGGAGCAAUCACAUCUAGUGGGCACACCUGUGUGAGGCUGCCUCUGUGUGUGUGUGUGUGUGUGUGUGUCCCUCACACUUGUAUGGGGGAGGGGGGUUGACCUGUUGGGUACCUCAGUUCAACUUCUCAUUAAAGAAACCUGAUUGGAAACACCUGCAGUAGGAAGGACCUAUAAAGACAACAGCAUGUCCUGAACUCUUGACUCAGAAGCACACUGGUGUUUGGUUGGAGUAGCUGGUGUGUGGGGACUUGUGGAUGUGUGAGUGCUUUGCAUGCACAGUCCAGCUGGAGGGUUUGUGAGGACACAGCAAGUGCAGCUGCAGCAGUCAUGGCUGCGUGGUUCCUAAUUGCAAGGUUUUUACUGCUUUAUGUUUUGAGUGAUGUAGACUACUCCUCAGCUUUUCCAAGAGCCACAAGUCCUGUGCAGCCUAGAGUAUGGCAGGGUGGAAGAGGGGAACACGAUGUGUAUGGAAACCCUCGUCCUUUCCAGUACAUGAGGGCUCUGAGGCCAACAGAUCCAAAGAUCUACCCUAAUGUGCGUGAUCGGGUCCAAGUCGAAUCCUCGAGAUCGUAUCAGCCACGCUCUAAUAUUCCCACCCACCGAUCCAUGGAAACAUCUCCGCUCCAGCCUCGAGCACACAGAAACCACCUUGUGGCCAAGCCCAGGAGCUUUGACUUAGCCCUGAGGAUCCCUUUUGCUCAUUCUCGUGAUGGUGCUAAUCCUCCUCGGUACGGACCGAGUGGCCUUAUUAUUGACAACAGUUUUAAUAAUCCCCGCAGACAGCAUGGCCAUGAUGCUUCCAAGCUGGGCUACCAGUUCAGCUUAUCUGUUCCCUUUUCACGUGGUUCUCCACGCCACCCAGGUGGCCCCAAACAUCACGGUGGACAUCAACACAGGCCUGAGGAAGACUAUUUGGGUCAUCAAAGAGGGCCGGUUCAUGUGCCAGUUCGUCCAAGGCCAUACCCCGACGAGCAUCAUCGUGAGCAUGAUCGCGAGCAUCGUGAUGAAGGCCGCCCUGGGCGGGAGUUUGCAUUUCCAGAGCCAGAUGGACCAGAACACCCAUCAUGGCUGCGCCAUCCUCAAAGAUAUGUCGACCCUUACAGUGGAUACUACAACUCCCAGAUGAAGCCUACGUGGAAUGACUACUGGUGGCAUUACCGUGGACCUCACUGGGGUCAUGUAAAGCAUCCAUCUUCUGACCCUUGGCCAAAUUUCCAUCGGUCAGCUUCAGACUGACAUGGAUGGAAGAGACAAGCCAAACUCGCAGGGCACAGGUGGGUCAUUAGUUUUCGGGUAUUAAAACGUGGCAUUUCAUGAUGGUUCAAACCUGUUCCUCACAAGUGUUUCCUCCUUUACAGCUUUACAGUGCAACAAGGAUGAUCUCCUGUAUUUAUCUGAAAUAAAGUGUGAAAGCUCUCCUGCAGUUUCUCUUGUCUUCUGUCAGGUUGAAAGAAUAGCUGAACACUUGGCUUGAGGUUAAUCUUUCAAGAGCUAAUCAAGAUUCAUGUGCUUGUAAGCAAGAAGCAACAAGUCUAUGCCCAAAUGUUAGAAAGCCACUGACUCUGCAGCUCAUUAAAUUUAUGGGUGAUGUGCAUUUUAAACUGCCUCUAGAGCUGUAACUGAGGCCAUUUUACAAUUAUUGCAGGCUUGACACUGAAUCAAGUGUCCCGUCUUUCAGAAGCUGCUUUUGUACAAAUUUACAGCCACUCCAUUUUAGGUAGAAACUCCAAUCUGCCAUUGAAUGACACUUCAGUUGAAUUUCUGCUCUGAGGAGUCUCAAUCUGGGAUCGCUGCCUGCCAAGACAAGUUUACCUUCAGCGCACCCAAACUGUCGGUUUUGGCAGUGUAUCGGCUGGUUUCUCACUUACAGCUUGAAACCUGUUCUCCAAGAUGGUUCUUGGCUGCAGAGGAUGACUCUAAAGUUUUCUCCCUGGUGAAUGAUGACAAGCAGGUUUUGGGAAGAUGAUUCUAAGGGGUAAAUAAGACCUGUCCCUUCCUGAGCCUUUAUCAAAUGCAGUGGAGCACUGAGGUGUUUCAUUUGGCAGUUGCUGAAAGAAGACUUUCUGCUUCACCCAGUAUUCUGAUUGGCUGGCCUUGGCUAAAUCCCUUUUAGGAAAAUAUGCAAUCCUCAGAUGAUUACAGUAUUCACCAAUAUGUUGCCUCUAGACGAGCCCCUAAAAUUGAGGCUGUUCAGUUGGAGUCUGCCUGAUGUGAAAUCAAACGCUGCAGGCUCUCAAGCUUUUAACACCUGCCACACCACUACUAGCAUAUCAUUCAAGAACCUUGCAUUUUCCUCCAAAUCAGACUCGAAAACCGAAGUGCAUUGGAUCUAAAACAAAACUGUAAGUGGUAGUCUGGUCGGGUACCAGUUUCAGCCCUGUUAGAGACAAUGGGCAAAAUCCUGAUUGGCCUAGAACUGGCAAGAUCUUGAGGAUCACAUUUGUGUAUGGGUGAAACAAUCCAUUUACUAGAAGUCAUCCCUUGGAGAUGGACAAAUUUGACGAUUUACCACCACUGCUUACCAUGAGAAAUGCCACAUUGUCAG